rnacentral:rRNA from 1 species
GAUGAACGCUGGCGGCGUGCCUAAUACAUGCAAGUCGAGCGAAUGGAUUGAGAGCUUGCUCUCAAGAAGUUAGCGGCGGACGGGUGAGUAACACGUGGGUAACCUGCCCAUAAGACUGGGAUAACUCCGGGAAACCGGGGCUAAUACCGGAUAACAUUUUGAACUGCAUGGUUCGAAAUUGAAAGGCGGCUUCGGCUGUCACUUAUGGAGGGACCCGCGUCGCAUUAGCUAGUUGGUGAGGUAACGGCUCACCAAGGCAACGAUGCGUAGCCGACCUGAGAGGGUGAUCGGCCACACUGGGACUGAGACACGGCCCAGACUCCUACGGGAGGCAGCAGUAGGGAAUCUUCCGCAAUGGACGAAAGUCUGACGGAGCAACGCCGCGUGAGUGAUGAAGGCUUUCGGGUCGUAAAACUCUGUUGUUAGGGAAGAACAAGUGCUAGUUAAAUAAGCUGGCACCUUGACGGUACCUAACCAGAAAGCCACGGCUAACUACGUGCCAGCAGCAGCCGCGG